rnacentral:rRNA from 1 species
GACGAACGCUGGCGGCGUGCCUAAUACAUGCAAGUCGAGCGGAGCGGCGGACGGGUGAGUAAUGCCUAGGCAUCUGCCUGGUAGUGGGGGAUAACGUCCGGAAACGGGCGCUAAUACCGCAUACUAUCAGAUGAGCCUUGGUCGGAUGAGCUAGUUGGUGGGGUAAAGGCCUACCAAGGCUACGAUCCGUAACUGGUCUGAGAGGAGGAUCAGUCACACUGGAACUGAGACACGGUCCAGACUCCUACGGGAGGAAGAAGUGGGGAAUAUUGGACAAUGGGCGAAAGCCUGAGCCAGCCAGGCCGCGUGUGUGAAGAAGGUCUUCGGUUGGUAAAGUACUUUAAGUUGGGAGGCGUUACCAACAUAAUAAGCACCGGCUAACUACGUGCCAGCAGCCGCGGUAAUAC